CCCCUAGAUGUUCUGGGCCGCACGCGCGCUACACUGGUCGAUGCAACGAGUUUCUUUCCUUGGCCGACAGGCCUGGGCAAUCUUUGAACAUCGAUCGUGAUCGGGAUAGAUUCUUGUAAUUUUUGAUCUUAAACGAGGAAUUCCUAGUAAACGCAAGUCAUCAGCUUGCAUUGAUUACGUCCCUGCCCUUUGUACACACCGCCCGUCGCACCUACCGAUUGAAUGGUCCGGUGAAAUCUCCGGACUGGCGUGAGUCGGAGCAAUCUGACAAACACCGGAAAGUUGAUUAAACCUUACCAUUUAGAGGAAGGUGAANUCGUANCA
rnacentral:rRNA from 1 species